GUCUAUAAUCAUACUACCCUGGACAUGUCUGAUCUGUCUAAUCUUAUAAGCUAAGUAGGGUCAGGCCUGGUUAGUACUUAGAUAGUACAAAAUCAAACUGGUUGUCUUUUAGUCU
rnacentral:rRNA from 1 species